rnacentral:rRNA from 1 species
AUGGAGUCCACGCCGGCGCCUCCUCUCCUGACGCCGCACAAGAUGGGCCAGUUCGACCUCUCGCACAGGCAUUGCAACCAGCCAGCACAGUUUCCAUUCAUGCCAUCGGUUGUGCUGGCACCACUGACGAGGCAACGGUCCUACGGCAACGUGCCACAGCCACACGCAAGGGUGUACUACGCGCAGCGGGCAACCAAGGGCGGGCUGCUCAUCGCGGAGGCGACCGGAGUGUCGGACACGGCGCAGGGGUACAAGGACGCCCCUGGCGUAUGGACGGAGGAGCAGGUCGACGCGUGGAAACCCGUGGUCGACGCCGUGCACGCCAAGGGUGCACUCUUCUUCUGCCAGAUAUGGCACGCCGGACGCGUCUCAAACUAUAAGUUACAACCAAAUGGGCAGGCGCCGAUAUCGAGCACCGACAAGCAGGUUAGUCCUCAGAUGAGCGCCGAUGGUCGUCUCGAGGAGUUCGCGCCGCCGAGGAGUCUCGCAAAGGACGAGAUACCCAAUGUGGUCGAUGACUUCAGAAAAGCUGCAAGGAACGCCAUCGCAGCUGGGUUCGACGGUGUUGAGAUCCACGGCGCCUAUAGCUACAUCAUUGAUCAGUUCCUCAAGGACAGCGCGAACGACCGCACCGACGAGUACGGUGGCAGCCUCGACAACCGAUGCCGCUUCGCGCUAGAGGUGGUGGACGCCGUCGUCGGGGAGGUGGGCGGCCACCGCGUGGGCAUCCGUCUGUCUCCCUUCACCGACUACAUGGACUGCCAUGACUCGGACCCUCAGGCUCUCGCCCUCCACCUCGUCAACAAGCUCAAUGACUAUGGCAUCCUCUACUGCCACAUGAUCGAGCCAAGGAUGGCGCAUGUCGAUGGCCGACGCUAG